CCGAGGUUGACCAGGGCCCAUGGUUUCUGCUAGCCACCGCACAAAAUCGCGCCGAGCAACCAGAAGAAAGAUGAACACUUGUAAGGAAGAGACAAGAGCAAGUUCCUUAGCAUGCGGCAGCACAGUGAAUGAUCAUUUUAAGGAAUAAAACAG